rnacentral:ncRNA from 2 species
UACACUCGCAGCCGUUUUGGUGCUCGCGUGCGGAUUCCUGCGCACGCAGUUGAACGGGAAACAGGGCAUCGGGCCGCGCCGCGGCCGCGAUCAACCUGUGCUGCCCCCGCAACGGUAAGCGACUGCAUCGCAAAGAGGCGAUGCGAGGCCCGCUUCACCGCGCGUGCGCGUCACGCGCGGCCAGGCCACUGGAUGCCGCCGGCGUCCGGGAAGGCGAAGCGGCGCGGUCGCCAGCCCGGAUACCGGCCAGAACGGCGGAACCGCC